rnacentral:siRNA from 1 species
AGGGUGUGAACGAUCUGUGUCCC